rnacentral:misc_RNA from 1 species
GAUGAAGAACGUAGCGAAAUGCGAUACGUAAUGUGAAUUGCAGAAUUCAGUGAAUCAUCGAAUCUUUGAACGCGUAUUGCGCUCUCUGGUAUUCCGGAGAGCAUGCUUGUUUGAGUAUCAGUAAACACCUCAACUUCCAUAUCUUUUUUUGAAAUGGGAGUUGGACUUGAGUGAUCCCAACGCUUUUCCUCACCGAAAAGUGGCGGGUUACUUGAAAUGCAGGUGCAGCUGGACUUUUCUCUGAGCUAUAAGCAUAUCUAUUUAGUCUGCCUAAAAAACAGAUUAUUACCUUUGCUGCAGCUAACAUAAAGGAGAUUAGUUCUUGUGAUGACUGAUGCAGGAUUCACAAAGACAGCUUCGGCCGACUUUGUAAACUCGAUCUCAAAUCAAGUAAGACUACCCGCUGAACUUAAGCAUAUCAAUAAGCGGAGGA